AUUGAACGCUGGCGGCAUGCCUUACACAUGCAAGUCGAACGGUAACAGGUCUUCGGAUGCUGACGAGUGGCGAACGGGUGAGUAAUACAUCGGAACGUGCCUAGUAGUGGGGGAUAACUACUCGAAAGAGUGGCUAAUACCGCAUGAGAUCUACGGAUGAAAGCAGGGGAUCGCAAGACCUUGUGCUACUAGAGCGGCCGAUGGCAGAUUAGGUAGUUGGUGGGAUAAAAGAUUACCAAGCCGACGAUCUGUAGCGGGGCUUGGAGGACGAUCAGCCACACUGGGACUGAGACACGGCCCAGACUCCUACGGGAGGCAGCAGUGGGGAAUUUUGGACAAUGGGCGCAAGCCCGAUCCAGCAAUGCCGCGUGCAGGAUGAAGGCCUUCGGGUUGUAAACUGCUUUUGUACGGAACGAAAAGCCCUGGGUUAAUACCCUGGGGUCAUGACGGUACCGUAAGAAUAAGCACCGGCUAACUACGUGCCAGCCGCCGCAGUAAGAC
rnacentral:rRNA from 1 species